rnacentral:rRNA from 1 species
UACGGAGGGGGCUAGCGUUGUUCGGAAUUACUGGGCGUAAAGCGCGCGUAGGCGGCUUUGUAAGUUAGAGGUGAAAGCCCAGGGCUCAACCCUGGAAUUGCCUUUAAGACUGCAUCGCUUGAACAUCGGAGAGGUAAGUGGAAUUCCGAGUGUAGAGGUGAAAUUCGUAGAUAUUCGGAAGAACACCAGUGGCGAAGGCGGCCACCUGGACGGUCACUGACGCUGAGACGCGAAAGCGUGGGUAGCAAACAGG